rnacentral:rRNA from 1 species
CAGUAGCCGCGGUAAUACGAAGGGGGCUAGCGUUGCUCGGAAUGACUGGGCGUAAAGGGCGCGUAGGCGGUUGACACAGUCAGAUGUGAAAUUCCCGGGCUUAACCUGGGGGCUGCAUUUGAGGCGUGGCGACUAGAGUGUGAGAGAGGGUUGUGGAAUUCCCAGUGUAGAGGUGAAAUUCGUAGAUAUUGGGAAGAACACCGGUGGCGAAGGCGGCAACCUGGCUCAUUACUGACGCUGAGGCGCGAAAGCGUGGGGAGCAAACAGGAUUAGAUACCCCCGUAGUCCCUGUCUCUUAUAC